GAUGAACGCUGGCGGCAUGCCUAAUACAUGCAAGUCGAACGAGAGGAAGGAAAGCUUGCUUUUCUGAAUCUAGUGGCGAACGGGUGAGUAACACGUAGGUAACCUGCCCAUGUGCCCGGGAUAACUUCUGGAAACGGAUGCUAAAACCGGAUAGGUAGCAGACAAGCAUUUGACUGCUAUUAAAGUGGCUAAGGCCAUGAACAUGGAUGGACCUGCGGUGCAUUAGCUAGUUGGUGAGGUAACGGCACACCAAGGCGACGAUGCAUAGCCGGCCUGAGAGGGCGGACGGGCACAUUGGGACUUGGGCAUGGCCCAAACUCCUACGGGAGGCAGCAGUAGGGAAUUUUCGUCAAUGGGGGGAACCCUGAACGAGCAAUGCCGCGUGAGUGAGGAAUGUCUUCGGAUCGUAAAGCUCUGUUGUAAGAGAAAAACGACAUUCAUAGGGAAUGAUGUGUGAGUGAUGGUAGCUUACCAGAAAGUCACGGCUAACUACGUGCCAGCAGCCGCGGUAA
rnacentral:rRNA from 1 species